GAUGAACGCUGGCGGCGUGCCUAAUACAUGCAAGUCGAGCGAACGGACGAGAAGCUUGCUUCUCUGAUGUUAGCGGCGGACGGGUGAGUAACACGUGGAUAACCUACCUAUAAGACUGGGAUAACUUCGGGAAACCGGAGCUAAUACCGGAUAAUAUUUUGAACCGCAUGGUUCAAAAGUGAAAGACGGUCUUGCUGUCACUUAUAGAUGGAUCCGCGCUGCAUUAGCUAGUUGGUAAGGUAACGGCUUACCAAGGCAACGAUGCAUAGCCGACCUGAGAGGGGGAUCCGCCAAAAUGGAACUGAGACACGGGCCAGACUCCUACGGGAGGCAGCAGUAGGGAAUCUUCCGCAAUGGGCGAAAGCCUGACGGAGCAACGCCGCGUGAGUGAUGAAGGUCUUCGGAUCGUAAAACUCUGUUAUUAGGGAAGAACAUAUGUGUAAGUAACUGUGCACAUCUUGACGGUACCUAAUCAGAAAGCCACGGCUAACUACGUG
rnacentral:rRNA from 1 species